rnacentral:lncRNA from 1 species
GGAAAUAGAAAACUCAGAAAGGGAUGAAUUUGAAUAGCAUUAUUACUUUUGGUCAGGAUUUGCCAAGUUGGACUCUUUAAAACUGACUGGCCAUCCCAGGAGACUGCUGCCUGGCUCCUGGCUGCAAAGCCUGUGGUUUUCAGAGGAGGAUUAAUGAACGACAGACACCGCAGGCCUCCGUGGCUUUGCCACUUGCCUGAGCAUUAAUGUAGCUGAGCUCUGGAGGAGGCGUUUGAUUUCUCGGAGCCCUGGGAAUCGCUGUGGCUUCAUCUCUUCCAAAAGAAUACACAGAAGCAUCGGCCAUUGCCACAGUCCACGAAUGCACAAGGCUUCAUGAAAGUUUCUGUCUUUGGAGAAUUUCUGCUCUGGUUUUGGGGGCUGAUACCCUUGGCAGGUGUUUAUUUAAAUCCUGAGAUUAAAAAUAAGACAUUCCCAAAUGGUGCAGCAGAUGCUAUACGGACUAUGUUUUGGGAUACAAAAGUUCCUCACCCCCACUGGGCAGGUGGAGAGUUGGCAUUUGAUGUGCUUCUGGUAAUUAUUUGGCAGAUAAAAAAGAGAUGGGUUCCCAGACCCACUACCCUGUAAGGCCGCGAGCAUUGAGGAUUGGUCAAUUAAAGUGCAAUUCUGAUUUGGAAGCCACCCAACUGAGGCUUCACUGUUGCUCUGCAGCCAUGGGGGAACAGGAGCAUCUCUGGACAGCCCUUGUCCUCAGGUUCUGAGGAAGUCUUUUUAUCAGAAAUGCCUCCCCAAAUUUAAAGAUGUACUGUGUUAUUUUGAAAAAGUGCUUAAGAGAGAAAAGGCAUUAUUAACUGUCUUUAUUUCCUUGGAAGCACCACAACAGAGAAUUCACCCAGGGUUCCACUGAAAGAACCUUUUGGGUAAGUGUUUUGUAAACGCAGAUGGCUGACUAAACAUUCUCUGUGCCAGGUGACCCUUGGUUCUGAGCAUUGCAGAGGGCGGCUCUGCUCUCAUUCUCAACACCUCUGAGCUGAGGCUGGGAUUCUCCAAGGUGGAGUCACCAAGGUGGGCUUCUAAAACUGAAACUCCUAUAAAACGUAUGGUCGACAGCUAACCACAAUGAUAAAACACAGACUGAGAUUUCAUCUCCAAAUGGGGAUUUCUUUUCAGAUGAGUCUGGAAUGGCUUCACCACCGAAGGUGAGUGACAACUGAAAAUAAUUUUAAAAAACCAUCUCCUUUAUCUCUGAUUUAUCUAGCGUGGCUGUGCAUUCAUACUUUUCAGACCCUAUGUAGUGUUUCAGUUCCAGAUUCCUGUUUGAGAAUUUCCUUGCCUGCUCUUGAUCCAGUGGAUGUGGAGUAGGUGGGCUCCAGCCAGAAGUGCUCUGCAGGGGCUACGCUUUCUCCCAAACAUGCUUGCUGGCGGUGGAUGAGGGUGCCUGACAGAGGCCUCGUGUUCCUGGGUGAGGGCGAUCAGUGGCUCCCAAGGCAGUGGUGAGCAAGGCGGCUGGUACUAAUCUUGUACUAAACAGCAACAGUUAUUCGGAGAGCUUGGCCAGCCCCCAAAGAGGCUGAUGGGGGAUUUUUUUUUCUUUUUUUUUAGAUAGUGAUCUGGGAUCCCAAGAAUGCUUCCUACUUGUUGACUUUUAGUGUUAAUUCAGUCUACUGGCCGGGGCCACCACUUUCAAUAGCUGUUUUUCAUUAUUGUUUGCAUUAAAAAGAAUACCUCAGCCCCCAAACUUCAGUAAAGUUGGGAACUUGUUUAAAAUAAGAAAGCAGUUUAUAGAAGCCAUACUUAAAUAUGCCAAGAUGAUCUCUAGCUGCACAGCAAACCCGAGCUCCCACAGCAAAGUAACGAAGAACAAGAGUCCAUUCAGCACAAAAAACUAAAUACGCUGCAGAGGCAGGGUGGGGCCGCAGUGGGCAGGCGAAGGCCUCUGCACCACUGCCAUCACCGUCUGCAGUGCUGGCACAAGGGGCCCACGAGCUCCUGCAGCAGUGGCUCUGGGCUGGCUUCACAAGAGCCACGGGAUUUUUUUAAGCUGCAGUUGGUCCCCUGCUGGGUCGAGUCACAGAGGUUCAGAACAAGCCUCAGAUGGAACGUCUCAGGGCUUCCGCAGGAAACAUAUCAGCUACUCGAGAAAAGCUGAUUCGAGCUGCAGGUGACGGUGGUGACAUGAGCAGAGGGCCGUCUGCUUGGCCAUGUCUCCAGGGUAUCCUGGGAAAGCUAAGCACUCAAACCGAGAUUCCAGAUGCUUCAGGGUCUUUUGUUUCUCUCAAGUGGUGAGCCAGCUACAUCUGAUUAUCCUUUUCAAGGGGGAGAUGGAUUUAAAGGCAGGGUAGUUUGCUUUCAAGCAGUGUGGCACCCUGUAAGGACAAGCACGAGUCCAGGAAGUCUCUGGGGGCCUGGCCAUUUCUGUUUUGGUGCUAAGCACCGUCAGGACCUUGCUCAAUGAGGUGCUAGAGACUCCUGGCUUUCUGCCACAGGCGGCUGCUCCCAGGAAAGAGAGCACAAGAGGGCCAGCUCUUUUCUGGAAGGUUCUGUUCACCGUGUCUCAAGCCCCACUUAAAGUGCCUGGAACUGCCUAUGUCUCCUGUUUAAAUGGAAGUUCUGAGUCUACUGCCAAAGUCAUUUCCUCCUACCUCUGCUGGCGCCUGGGAGGUAUGGGGUCUGAACUGAACUUGGCCAAGGAUUCUUGACCCAUUCGUCAGUUCUCAAAACCAGUCAGACCAGGCUCGUGAAUGACGAGAUGAAGCUUCGACGUGGUGUGACUCGGCUUAGUCACCGGGCUAGCUGAAGGGCUGGCGGGGUACUAGGACCUGCAGUUGCCUUGCCAGGUACCCUCUACCCUGACCACAGCUAAGGUGGGCUGCUUGGUCAGAUCUCUGCUCACUGCGGAAGGACCUGGGUCCUGACUGCCCUGUGAACAGGGCACAGAGAGGCCAUCACAGGUGAGCACUCUGUGGUGGGAGAAAAGGGCCACAGAGAACAGGAAGAUCAUCUGCUGCUUGUCCCGGAAAAGGACAGAGGAUUCAUUUGCUCCCAGGUGUCAGGUGCAGGCUGAGCAGCAGGAAGUGGAAAAGCGGUGCAGGGAACCUAGGCAGGUGGGGAGGAGGGACCGAGAGGUGAGCAAAGAGCCGAUUCAUGAAUUAUGCCUGUGUAUACUUGAGUUAGCAAAGACUUCUCUUAAGAAGCCCCCGAUUUUUAAAAGUGGUUCCUACCCUGAAUAUAAUCAUUAGUAAACAUAUCUGCAGAAGCUCUUGUUAAUACAAACAAAGACAGGCUGAGGAGUGAGCCACACAGGCUGACGCGUCCAGCCUUUUGGUCAUGGCGUGGACGUUACCCAGCAUCUGGGCCCUGGCCCUCUGGAUGUAGACUGCACUGCAGGCCCUCAGUCGGUGGGUUCUGUUUCCUGGAUUAGCUUCACUUCUGAUUCUUAGGGUGGUAUUUUGGAGCUGUUGAGAGGCCCAGCUGAGUGGAGGGCUUUGCUCCAAGACAGACUCGCCCAGAUAGAAGGGCCAGGAGAAAAGUGCAGCUGGCGGCCCCUCUGAGCAGCCCUGCACUCCCC